rnacentral:tRNA from 1 species
GGGGUUGUGGCUCAGUGUUGAAAUAUCUACUUAGCAUGCAGAAGAUUGCAGGUUCAAUCCCUGGCAUCUCCA